rnacentral:rRNA from 1 species
GCAGCAGGCACGCAAAUUACCCACUCCCGGCACGGGGAGGUAGUGACAAAAAAUAACGAUACGGGACUCUAUUGAGGCCCCGUAAUCGGAAUGAGUACACUUUAAAUCCUUUAACAAGGAUCCAUUGGAGGGCAAGUCUGGUGCCAGCAGCCGCGGUAAUUCCAGCUCCAAUAGCGUAUAUUAAAGUUGUUGCGGUUAAAAAGCUCGUAGUUGGUUCUGCGUGCCACGCUGUCGGUUCGCCGCCUGUCGGUGUAACUGGCAUGUCGUGGCAUGUCCUGUCGGUGGUGAACGGGGUCCCUGGUACGAUGUAGGCUUUUAUAGCUGAAAUCUGUACCGUGUGUGACACCGUUUGCCGAUCUCUCCUACUCCGGUGCUCUUAAACGAGUGUCGAGGUAGGCCGACACGUUCACUUUGAACAAAUUAGAGUGCUUAAAGCAGGCUAAAAUAUCUGCCUGAAUAGUGGUGCAUGGAAUGAUAAAACAGGACCUCAGUUCUAUUUUGUUGGUUUUAGGAAUAUGAGGUAAUGAUCAAUGUGGACUGGCGGGGGCAUUCGUAUUGCGACGUUGAGGUGAAAUUCUUGGAUCGUCGCAAGACGCACUAGAGCGAAAGCAUUUGCCAAGUAUGUCUUAAUUGAUCAAGAACGAAAGUUAGAGGUUCGAAGGCGAUCAGAUACCGCCCUAGUUCUAACCAUAAACGAUGCCAGCCAGCGAUCCGCCGAUGUUCCUUUAAUGACUCGGCGGGGAGCUUCUACUCGGGAAACCAAAGCUUUUGGGUUCCGGGGGAAGUAUGGUUGCAAAGCUGAAACUUAAAGGAAUUGACGGAAGGGCACCACCAGGAGUGGAGCCUGCGGCUUAAUUUGACUCAACACGGGAAACCUCACCAGGCCAGGACAUUGGAAGGAUUGACAGAUUGAUAGCUCUUUCUUGAUUCAGUGGGUAGUGGUGCAUGGCCGUUC